CAUACCUGUGGUCCAUAACCGUUCCCAGUCAGCAAACAUAAUAUUAUGCCCCACAUCUUGCGCCCAUUUAAUCAUAGCAGAUUUAACCAUUUCAUCCUGUGUAUUCCAUUUCAACAGCAGAUUAUACAUUCUUGACAGAUUUUUGGUUUUAGGUUCUAACAAUUCCGUUUCCAGUUUAGAUUUUUCCUCCUGGAAACCUAUCUUUUUAUCUAAGUUAAAAACCUCCCUUAUUUGGUAAUAAUGCAGCCAAUCUCGAACUUUAGUUCUUAAUUUGUCAAAGCUCUGCAAUUUUAGUUUAUCUCCGACUUGUUCUAAAAUUUCACAAUAUUUUGGCCAGUUUGUCUCCAUAUUUGUUUUUUUCAAAGCCUUAGCCUCCAUUGGUGACAGCCACCUUGGUGUUUUACUUUCCAACAAAUCCUUAUAUCUCACCCAAACAUUGAAUAAUGCUUUCCUGACAAUAUGAUUCUUGAAGGCCUUAUGCGCUUUGACUUUAUCAUACCAUAAAUAUGCAUGCCACCCAAACACAUUAUCGAAACCUUCUAAAUCUAAAAUGUCCACAUUUUCAAGAAGUAGCCAAUCUUUCAGCCAACAAAAAGCGGCUGAUUCAUAGUAAAGUUUAAGAUCUGGCAGGGCAAAUCCCCCUCUUUCCUUUGCGUCUGUUAGUAUCUUAAAUUUUAUUCUGGGCUUUUUGCCCUGCCAGAUAAAUUUGGAAAUAUCUCUUUGCCACCUCUUGAAGCAGUCCAUUUUAUCCACAAUUUGUAAUGUUUGAAACAAAAACAACAUUCUAGGCAAUACAUUCAUCUUUAUCGCUGCAAUUCGGCCCAACAAUGAUAACUUCAAUUUUGACCAUAUUUCUAAAUCCUUCUUCACCUCUGACCAACAUUUUUCAUAAUUAUCUUUAAACAGAUUCACAUUUUUGGCAGUCAUAUUCACCCCUAGAUAUUUCACUUUAUUAACAAUUGUUAAUCCUGUCUCUUUCUGAAACCUCUCCUUCUCUAUCUCUGUAAGAUUUUUCUCUAAUACCUUGGUUUUCAUCUUGUUUAAUUUAAAACCUGCUACUUGACCAAAUUCUUGUAUUAAUUGUAACACUCUUUUUGUACUAGCUUCUGGCUCCUGUAAUGUCAAAACUAAAUCAUCAGCAAAAGCUUUCAAUUUGUACUGUUUAGCUCCGAGUUGUAUACCUUUAACCAAUUGGUCUUUUCUAAUCAUAUUGAGCAAAACCUCGAGGACCGAUAUAAAAGCAAUGGGGAGAUUGGGCAACCCUGUCUUGUUCCUUUCUCUAUCUUAAAUUCUUCUGUAACUACAUUGUUCACAAUAAGCUUAGCUUUUUGUUCCGAAUAAAUUGCACUUAUACCAUUUUCGAAACUUUGGCCUACCCCCAUCCCCUGCAAAUUUUUCUUCAUAAAGCUCCAAGAAAUGUUAUCAAACGCUUUCUCUGCAUCUACAAAUAUUAGAACAGCUUUACUAUUGAUAUUAACUUGCAGUUUUUCCAAAAUAUUAAUGAUGUUCCUAGUAUUGUCUGACAAAUGUCUCCCAGGUAGGAAGCCCGCCUGGUCUUUAUGAAUCUCUUUUACCAAUACAUUUUUUAAUCUUUUAGCCAUAAUUUCAGCAAAAAUUUUGUAAUCCACAUUUAGUAGGGAUAUGGGACGGUAGUUCUUCAACUGUGUCUUCUCCCCUUCGGUUUUUGGUAUAAGUGUAAUGUAUGCUUCUUUCCACGACUCGGGUGCUUUUCCUCCCCGUAGUAUUUCAUUACAAAGUUCUUUCAACGGUUGCAAUAACCAUUCUUUCAAAGUUUUGUAGUACUUUGCAGUUAAUCCAUCCGGCCCUGGAGAUUUGCCCAAUUUCAUAUUCUGAAUGGCUCCUUCCACUUCUUGGUCAGAUAUUGUAGAGUUUAAUAUUGAUUUACUGUCUUGAGAUAUUUUUUGUAAUCCAUUAUUUUCCAGAAAUCGGUCAAUGUCUAGAUCUUUCUGAGUCUCCUGCGUAUAUAACUGUUUAAAAUAAUUCUGAAAGCACUUCCGAAUCUCUCCAGGAUUCUGUAUAUUCUUCCCUUCUACAACCAAGUUCGUAAUCGUAUUCAGCUUUUGUCUUUUUUUCAUUUGCCAGGCCAGUAACUUCCCACAUUUAUUUGCCGAUUCGAAAGUCUUUUGUUUCAUCUGUUUGAUCUUCCAUUCUAUCUCCUGGUUCAUCAAUUUCAUAUAUUGUACUUGGUAUAACUUUAUCUCUUUUAAAAUCUCCUGUGAGUUCGGUUUCGCUCUCAGUCUUUUUCUCCAUCCUUAAUUUUCUCCAAAAUUUUUCUCUCUUCUCAUUUUGAUAUCUUUUCCUAAUUGCGUUUUGUUGUAUCAAGAAUCCUCUCAUCACCGCUUUACUGGCAUCCCAAAUCACUCUUUUUUCUGUCAUAGUAUUCAAAUUUAUUUCAAAAUAGUCUCUCAAAUUUUUCUGAGCCUUUUUAAUAGUUUCCUCAUUCCUAAAUAAGGAGUCAUUCAUCCUCCAUCUAAAGGCCCCAAUUGGCGUUGAUAUCAUUUCAAUCUUUACUGGAUUAUGAUCAGAGCAGAUUUUCGGGCAGAUCACCGCUUUUUUAAUUUUAGGAGCCAGUCCUCUAGUUGUCCAGAUUUGGUCUAUUCUUGUCCAUGUCAUAUUUGCUUCAGAGAAGAAGGUUCCUUCUCUUUCCAAGGGGUUCUUUAUUCGCCAAAUAUCCACAAGAUCCAUAUUGUCAGUCAUUUCAAAAAAUGUCUUUGGCAGUCUUCCAUCUUUUGUCACUGUUUGUCUUUGGGCUUUGUCCAUAUUUGUAGACACUACUCCAUUCAUGUCUCCCAUCAAAAUAAUAUUGUAAUCCAGAUAGUCCAGGAGAGUUUCAUGCAAUUUCUUGAAGAAUUCUGAUUUUCCCUCAUUUGGUGCGUAUACACCUAUUAUCAAAAAUUUCUGUCCUUGGAAUUGAAUUUCAAUUGCUAUAUAUCUUCCUUGAUCAUCUUUAAAUAUAAAUUUUGGUGACAGGCUUUCCUUCGCAUAAAGUACUACCCCUCUUUUUUUAACAUUAUCCGAUGAGAUAAAUUCCUCUCCCAAUCUUUUAUUUAUCAAAAUUUUCCGAUGUAGCCUUGUCACAUGAGUCUCUUGUAAACAGAUCAAGUCCAAAUGUUCUUUUUUCAAUGUAUGAAAUACUCUUCCCCUUUUAGCCGACGAAUUUAGGCCAUUAAUAUUCCAGCUUAAAAUUUGUAGUGUCAUUUUGUAGCUACUCUCCUUCUCCUCCAACAGCCCCAAGAAGGUUAUCUAUAUCUGUCGGUGGCGUUGGUUUCCCUUUUUCUUGCAGACUCUUGUCCGGUAUCGCAAUGUCUUUUCCCAAUCCUUUCAGUAGGUCUUCUUCGUAUGCACUCAGAAACUUGUUCUUUUCCUCCACUGAUCUGAUCUUGGUCUUUCUUCCUUUGAAGCUAAAGGAUAGACCUUGGGGCAAUUCCCACCUAAAGAUAAUUUUAUUUUUUCUCAACAAGUCCACCAGGUCUCCAAAGUCCUUUCUUAAAUCAAGAAGGUGUUUUGGUAUGUCUUUAAAAAUUUCAACUUUUGAUUGUAUAAUUGUCAAGGGUUUUUCGUAAUGUAAACCCAAAAUUUUGUCCCUUUCUUCUUUGGAUCGAAGAGUAAUCAAACAGUCCCUUAUUUUGAUCUUUCUUCCUCCUUUCCCCAGUCGAAAGGCCCUCACAAUCUUAAAAUCCUCUUGUUUCAAUUCCGAUUUCCAAAAGUCCAGAAAUUCUUGUGUCAAAAAGUCUAUCAAAGUACCUUUCUCCAACUCAGGAACAGCUCUGAUUCUAAGAUUCGUUUGUUUGUCUUUCAGGUCAAUCAUAGAUAACGUUAACUUAUGUUCUGCAAUCUCUUUCUGUAAGUCUGGUACUUUUUCAGUUUCCAACUGCCCCAAUUUAAACUCUACAACAGCAGUUUUUCCUGUAUAAACUUUGAGUCUUGCAGCAGUUUCUGAAUAGAUUCCGUAUUGCUAUUUACUUUUUUCUCCAAAUUACCUAAUGUUUCUGUAUUUAAGUCAAUUUUCCUGUUUGCAAUAUCCACUUUCUGAUUGGUCUCUUCCACCUUCCUGUUCGUUUCCCCCACUUUUGUAGUUAACUGCUGUAUUGAAUCAUUAAUCUUAGUCAGAGCACUGGCUAAAAGUUCCUCAGACAUUCCACCAGACUUAGAUUGUAUUGCCGAUGUGGGCAAACCAGCAGAUGAUUGCCUUCUAUGUGUCCAAGGUUUCCCUGAUCUCAAGGUUGACUGGUCCUUGUAACCAUCAGCCAUAACAGAGUGAAGGUCAAAUUCCUUUCCCACGUCUGAUCUUCCUGUUUAUAAUUGGAAAAUUCCUUUCCUUUCCUGCAAUUGCAGAGAGUCCCACUAGAUGGACACUGUUACCACCUAGCAAGUUACUGUCUUUUUAGAACAACAGGGGAAAGAUACUAAGUAAAAAAAAGUCCAAAGUAAAAGACACAAUAUAGCUUUCCAGUCCUUUCCAAUCUUUUCCCAGUAAAAUUGGCCACUAUGUAUCUCCUUUGCAGCCAGCAAACAGCUUUAGCAGCUUUGACAGCUUUGACAGCUGAGUGACAGAUCACUCAUUUAAUCCUUCAAUUUAAACAAUCCAGUAGAAUCAAAAGUCUUUCCCUUAACUCUCCUAAGGGUAGAUCCCUCCAAAGUUCUCAGGUCAGAAAGAUACACUUAUUUCAAUUCAGCUCUCCCACGUUUAGCUCCAAAUCUCUUUGCUUUGUUCUUUAUACAAUGCAGUGAAGCGGACUUCCUGUUUACGCUUCCACCGCGGUAGCCAAUUCAGACGUUUUUAAACAGCUUUAAACUUUUCCGCCUUUUCACAAAAGUUCCCAAUUGAUUCAAAUCUUGCUCUUUUAUCCAAUUCUUUUACUCACGGUUAGUUUUUUAAGUCCGAAUGUCCCAGGAAUAAGUCAGCGCUCUCCAGCAACGGCAACGCGGCUUCACUCAGUGAGAGCAGCGAUCCGCUCGCAGCACCGCGCUUCUCCCCCGCUCCCUUCCGAAGCCUCGAAAAGGCUUCCUUUCGGGUUGGGGGGGGCGCUUCAAGGUGCCCGCCGAGCCUCCACGUUCGCAGGCGUCCGCGCCUGCGAUUUCUAAGGGUCCCCGCUUCGCCGGAGCGCACAGGACCCGAUCUCUCACUGGGCUACCCCCUCCGAAGUUCAAAGGAGGUCCGCCAUUGCUGCUGGCACUGACCGGAAGUCC